UUAGAUCUAUUUUUUAAAAAUAUCGCAUAUGGAUCAGUGUUAUAGCUUAUGUUCUAAUAUAUAAGAUAAAAAAAAAUUACUUUCAAAGACACGUUAUGUCUUUAUAUUUACUAAUUUAGACACUUUAUGCUUGUCACACCCUUUCUAUGUGGUGAAUGUAGAAUGUAUCCUUCAAUGUUUUCCCUCGUUACUUCAUGUGUCUAAAGACAUGAUUUUCUUUCUUUUCUCUUUCUUUUCUCUUCUAGAUCCACUUGCAUCCCCACCAAAUAAAAAAAUUACAAAACUUUACUUUUCCGAUGAUUUAUUUCUCUCUUUUGAUUAUGAUGUUCUCUUUCAGUUAUUUUGAACAACUUUAUUAAACUCAUGAUCUUAAUUUGAGUGAAACAUACGAUUCUCUAUGGCGCUGUUUUGCUUAUCCACACGACGCCUCACCUAAUCGAAACAAAACACAUGACUCCGAGACUGUUCCGGCGGAAUGGCCUCUCUAAAACGUCCCUUCGCGUCGCCGUGGUCCAGCUCCUCUUUGAUCGCCGGUGAGACAGCCAUGGAUUCCGAGCUCGAAAUCUUAGUGGAAGGCCGCCGGUAACAGUCAAGUGUGGUCUCAUCCAGAAAGCACGUUCCAAGCUUUCCCCGUCUGAUCUCCAAGCAUCUCUGCUCUUGAACAACUCAAGAACUUUGCAGCGGACAUUAACAUCUCUUUCUUUCUCUAUCUCUUAUCUGAGUUUUUAUUUUGAAAUUCGAUUUAUUUUGAGAAGUUUAUGUUAUCUUUAUCUUCUAGAUAUUUAAAGUUUGAAUCUUUUGUGGAUCAAUUUCAAUUUUCAAUGCUAUUGGUCUUGUGGUUUGUGUUGGAUUGAAAAACUUGGUAGAGAUACAGAAAGUGUUUUAAGUGUUUGAAGAGAAAGAAACUUUGCGAAGAACAAAGAUUUUAUAACUUAGAAAAGAUUUUAUUACUUGUUACAAACUUGGUUUUUUU
rnacentral:lncRNA from 1 species